GACGAACGCUGGCGGCGUGCUUAACACAUGCAAGUCGAACGGAAAGGCCCUGCUUGCAGGGUACUCGAGUGGCGAACGGGUGAGUAACACGUGGGUGAUCUGCCCUGCACUUCGGGAUAAGCUUGGGAAACUGGGUCUAAUACCGGAUAGGAACCAUCUUUAGUGUGGUGGUUGGAAAGUUUUUUCGGUGUAGGAUGAGCUCGCGGCCAAUCAGCUUGUUGGUGGGGUAAUGGCCUACCAAGGCGGCGACGGGUAGCCGGCCUGAGAGGGUGUACGGCCACAUUGGGACUGAGAUACGGCCCAGACUCCUACGGGAGGCAGCAGUGGGGAAUAUUGCACAAUGGGCGCAAGCCUGAUGCAGCGACGCCGCGUGGGGGAUGAAGGCCUUCGGGUUGUAAACUCCUUUCGCUAGGGACGAAGCUCUUUGUGACGGUACCUAGAUAAGAAGCACCGGCUAACUACGUGCCAGCAGCCGCGGUAAUACGUAGGGUGCGAGCGUUGUCCGGAAUUACUGGGCGUAAAGGGCUCGUAGGUGGUUUGUCGCGUCGUCUGUGGAAUUCUGGGGCUUAACUCCGGGCGUGCAGGCGAUACGGGCAUAACUUGAGUGCUGUAGGGGUAACUGGAAUUCCUGGUGUAGCGGUGAAAUGCGCAGAUAUCAGGAGGAACACCGAUGGCGAAGGCAGGUUACUGGGCAGU
rnacentral:rRNA from 1 species